AGCUCCUAUUUCUGCCCCAAAUUCAUUGUCAGUAGAAUUAUGGGUUCUGGUGACGGAGGAAAUCAAGCCAUAUGACGGGCAUUCACUACUUUUGAUACAACCAGUGUUUGUUUUGUUGUAUGGAUCGUGCAAUGGCUUUGUAUCCGUGGCAUGGUUUAUUGUUUGUUAAGAUAUUCAAUAGACCGGAUCGGCUGUGCUAUAUUU
rnacentral:snoRNA from 1 species